GUUCUUGUAAUUUUUUUUCGAACAUGUUAAAUUAGGUUUUCUUGUUUGUUGAUUAUGUGUUUACUUUUUCUGAUCUUAUGUUUACUUUUUGUGGAUGUUGUGUUUACUUUUGAUGAUAUUGUGUUUACUUUUGCUGAUAAUGUCUUUAUAUUUUCGAUUCCUCUAAUUCCUUCACCUUCUUUGCGAUUAUCCUCUAUCAAUUCGCCAGGUACGUAUUCAAGUUUUCAAUUUUGUGUCAUUUAUCGCUAUUUUGAUUCCUUCGCAAUUGUUGAAGUUAGGGUUUCAAGAAUUCUUUGUUUCAACAUUUUAAGUUGCGAUUUGAUUACUAAAAUUAGGGAUUUUCAAAUUUUAGUAAUCAAUUUUUUGAUAGAAAAAUGAGUAUUAGGACCUACUGAUCCAUUAUUCUUCCAGUCACGAGCUAGUCGAGUGGUUUGCUGGUUUGUGCUACUAGGUAAGUGUGUGCAUGCUGCUUUAGAUUUAAUCAAAGAAGUGAAUUAGUAGUCUCGUUUUCUUUUGUUUUUUUACUGAACUAGUGUUGUUCUAUUUGUAGUUUAUUAGUUGUGUUUCUUUUGUUUACAAAGUGUGAUAUUGUAUGCUAUUUAUCACAAGUCAUCUUUCAUGCAGUUUGGAGUUGAAGAUUGCGGACUAUGAUCCGAGGCAAAACACCAGUUGUUGGGUUGUUGAUAUAUGUUAUAAUCAGACAGUUGGUAACUGGCUAGUGAAGAAGAAGAUGGGACUAGUCUCUAUUUAGCUGAUGGAAUGAGUUAGACCCUCCAUCGCGUCCUGCUGAUUCAAGACUUCCUUUUGAGUAUUUCUAUGAUAUGAGACCUGAUGCAAAUACAAGUUUAGUACCCACUGUGAGUCUUUCUUUGAAAGGAGGUGGCCAGUUUAGGGUUUAUGAUCCCAUCAUUGUCAUUUCAACCCAGCUUUUGAACGCAGAUUGAACUGGUAUAUUGUCUUGCUCUGGUCACAGAUUACCGUCACGGAUUACUCCGUAUUUGAGUGACUCCCUUGAUUUCAGAUCCAAUAAUCUCAUACACUCCGUAUUGCUUAAAUUUGAGCCGGAUAGAGAACCUAUACUAGAUCAUCGAAUACGUGAAGAAGAAGAUGGGACUAGUCUCUAUUUUGCCGAUGGAAUGAGUUAGACCCUCCAUCUGAAGAGGAAAAGCUGAGAAGCAAAAGAGUAUGUAAGCUUUACCAGCACAAUCUAAACCCAUUUGUAGAUCAUCCAGAGUAUGCUAAUCUGAUAUGGACACAAGUCAGAAAAGUUUUUCUAACACCUUAAAGUUGUGGUCAUCCAUCCAGCAACUAGGACUCUGGAAAACAUAACACCGAUACCGUUGCAUUGCGCGCUUGUAGGGGUACAGUAAUUGUCAUAUAUGAGCUUGUAGAAUAACCACCAUUUGAUGCCUCUACUGCAAAAUAACCACCGCCCUUUGAGGUUAUCACAGGAGGGUAUGGCAGAUUGGAAGCCAUGAUGUAGAUAGAAAGAGGAGAAAUCUAGAUCAAUAAAAUUAUUCUAUGGCAAGAGUUGACUUCGUUAAACUAUGUGUUUUUUGUUCCUGUUAAGCUUGCAGUUUAUUUCUA